UCACAGGACCCUGGGAUCAUGACCUGAGUUGAAGGCAGAUGCUUAACGACUGAGCCACCCAGGCUCCAAACUGUGACCCAUUUCUUCAUGAACUUUUCAUCAGCCAGCUAACAAAUAAGACUCUGUUCAGAUGAAGCCCGGGAUUCGCAGCACUUUUAUAGAGGACUGGAAAAUACACAAAAUCCUAAGAACUAAAUCUCUAGGGGAAUGAUUUCAAGGUAUACUGCCUGGACUCUUUAAGCCCAAAGCAGCAAAGAUGGGCCUGCUCCUGGAACACUUUGAGUUUAUGGAAAAGUUUACACUGGAUGAUUUCUGGGACAAGCAACUGCCAUAUAAAUGGAAAAAUCCACAUGCAGUAACAGCUCACCAAUCCACACUAACUUGGAGAAAGGCCAGUCUGCGUGAAAAGUGUGAAUUAUGAAAGUAUUCAAGAAAAUGUUGCUUUGUUACCUUCACACACAAUAGUAACUAAAAGAGCUGAACUUUUAAAAAUAAUUCAUAUGUAAUUGACACAUCCAACACAAACAAAUACAAUCAGAUGAUGCUACUAAAGUGUUGUGUCUUAAAUUAUCUUAACUCAAUCAAACAUUCUCAUAAAUACCAUGUUAUUUACGGUAUUGACACGUUUGGCCCACUCCUUUUUUCUACCUUCUAUUCAACUGUGAACAAGCCCAGAAAGUUACUACAAACAUUAAGUGUGAAAUAAAUAAAAUUUUUUAUGUAUGUAUUUAUUAUAUGCACUGAUUUAUGACCUGUAUAUUUAGUUGUACUAGUUGGAUUUUUCAAAACAUCUUACUGAACAUCACUUUUCGUUUUUAAUUAUCAAUAGCUUGAUAUACUGUUGUGAUGGACUUGAUAUAAACAUUCAUUAUAAUUAUCACUUGGUCUUUGCCUAUGUGAGUUAAGGGUUUUGUUACCUCAGUGCUGUUUAGGUGAGAGCUGGUUGCAGAAAGAAUGAUGUAAAAACAUUUUUUUGUAGUAAGGCCAUGACACACUCCAACUUACUUUAUUUGACGUUAACAAUUAAGGGAUGGUUGUGAAACACAUAAAUAAGCUUUAAGCAAUUUAUACUGUAAAUAACUGGUUUAAAGUGCCCUGUACAUUAGUAGGAUUGCAGAGGCCAGUGUUCUGCUGGGGACAGCAGAGGAACUAAGAGAUGCCCCAAAUGAUCUACGCUGUGCAUGGUUGCUUUUGGAAAACACUAGAAAAUAUCAUUAUUGACUAGCAUGUAACAUCUGAAUUCAUCAAACCUCAUUAUCUUUUAAGAUCUGAGCCUCAGGCAAUAAAAAUUUAAUCUCACAUGGAAACCGGAAUACAGCUCUCAACUCUGGGGCCAUUUAAAAAAAUUCUUCUUUGAACAUUUAAUCAGUUAUUAAGUACUUAUUAAUGAAAACUGUAUGACAAUAUCACAGAGGGCUUGAUUAAGAAGAGAAGGAGAAACACUCCAUGGCGUCUUGUUGCUUUGAGAGGCCUCCCGGGGAAUCCAUGAUGCUCUCAGCUCUGACAGAUCUAAACAAGCAGAGAAGUUUGGGCAGGGACACUGCUGCAUCAUUUAAUAGCACGCUGUUCUAGAGGUUGUAUUCUAACCCGCUGUGUAUUAAGGGGCCAUGUUUUCAUUUUGUCCCACCAACAGCAUUUGAUGGGUAAUCAAAUAAAUACUUGCUAAACUGAAUAGGUAAAGAAUUUUAGGAGAAAACUAUUAGGGUUAUAAUCAGAACAUUUAGUCUAAACAAAGUUCUAAUGGUCCUUAAUAAAACGUUAACAGAUGUAAUAAAAUCUUAGACAUUUGCUUGGCAUUUUAAAAUGUAGAGUUACCUUUCAAGUUAGUUAUGUCAUUUGAUCUUUGAUCUUUGGUUAUGUAUUCCCGUUUUUCCAAAUGGGAAUAAACUUAGAGAUACUAGUUAACUUAGCCAAGGCCUAUUGUCACCUGUGGAAGCUAACUUUAAGCAGACUUAUUUUUGGCCAAAUGCUAUCGUUUACUGGAUAAUUUUGGAAAUAUUUUGUCCCAUUUGGUUACAGGUUUACCUUAUACAAUUGUCAAGUGUUACAAGUUGACACUCUUAAAACUGUAUUUUGAACAAUUUGGUUCAAAUGCAGCCCCCAAAUUGUUGCUUGAACAACCUUCUAACUUUGUACGCAGCCGUGGUAGAAUGGCUCAUCAGGAUAGAUUGGUUUAACCCUGGAUUUUAUUAAAGAAUAUCAACACCAACUAUUUUUGAUCUUCAAGUAUUUGGCUGGGACCUCCAUCAAUUAAUGUGACUUUAUAUCUGCACCUAUUGAGAGAGAAUGAUCUAGGGUGAGGUAAUUCAUCAAUUCUAAUUUUUUAAUGCAGGUUUUAUUCAGGGUUUGAACUAAGAUCUAAGAAAGCAACAUCCUUGGGCACCACUUUGAUUCACAGGAGACUGGUCUCCCUGAGUUGCUUUUUACUAUCAUGAAAUUGAUUUUGGGGAGAAGACACAAUAAGCAGCCUUAUGAAAUUGAUAUCUAUAUUUGCUAUGGGGAUAUGACUGGAGUCAUUAUGUACUAUAAGUAUUCCCUACAUGCAGUCCACUGCAUCAGUCCUGAGUGCUGUAAAGUCUUUGGUUGGCCUGAGAAACUCCUAAGUUUUCUUUCUGGGGGCAGUAAAUUCUAUGCAACUGACUUUUCUCAUAGGCUGUGUUUUCUAGGAAGCUCAAAGCCAAAUUUGUGUCCCACCUGUAGCCAAUUAUGUAGGGGUCGUGGGGAUAGUGUGUGUUUGCACUUUACUUUCCUUUUAUCUGGUCCUGGUUCUUAAUUUGUUUUUGACUUAUAUUUUAUGUGUUGGCUGAAAACACCUUCAAAUUCUUUAUAGUCUCAAAGCAUGAAAACACACACACACACACAAACAAUUAAAUUGUAAAUGUUAAAUGUUUUGAUAUACUCUUUUUCUUAAAAUGCCACUGGCUGAUUUAUUUGUAUCUGUUGAAAAAAACACCCUAAAUUGUUUGUGAGAGUUAUGAAUAGCCCACAGACCCCCAAGAAUUUAAAAAUACAACUCUUGUUUGAUAAGUGGUUUCUCAAUUGGGUGAAUCUAAUCUCUUUUCUCAGAUUUAGGAAUAUCCAUUGCUUUCCAUUCCCACUAAGGUCUAGCUUCUGCACAUGGUACCUCCAGAAUUACAAAAUCUUUUGCCAACAAGGCAGUUAGCAGCAGGGCUGUGAGUGCCGUUUACUGUGUAAUGUCCAUGGACAUGGUUGCCAAACUCUACCAUAAGUGAGCACCCAAUUUGGUUGGUGCUACUGGGAGGAGCUUCUACUGUUUUCAAGACUUUGAAACAAUUGUAUGCAAGUUCAAGAUCUGAUGCUUUCUUUUCAAUAUUGACAGAAAGAAAUUGCACCCUCAUUAAGACACAUGUAGUUUUAGUAUUAGUUGAAUUCAUAUUGCUGUUAUAAGCAUACUAAAACUAAUCCUUCCUAAAGAAGACUAAGAGAAAACUAUGAUUAAAAUAUCUAUAGGAUAAAUGCUCAUAAACAUACUUGAUGACUGAUUUAAAAAAAAAAGAAUCUGGAUCACCUGGCUGGCUCAGUCAGUUAGGUGGCUAGCUCUCGAUUUCGGCUCUGGUCAUGAUCUCA